CCACAAGAAACAUUAAUUAUAAUUCAUCAGAGCACAUGUAAAUACUAAAAGUCACUGCUUUCUUCCACCUUAAACAAGUAAAAUUUAUAUAAUUACAUUAAUUUUAUUUUAUCUUAUCACAUCUCAUCAUUAUUCAUUUAUUUAUUCAGAUCAGUACUUGACAGCAAAAAUAUCCUAUGCUGCCAAUAAAUAUUUUAAUCAAGCAAACUUUUUAACAUUUAGGAUAUGCAACUCCACAAGUGCUAGCAACCCUUUUGGAGUUGGGAUUGUCGACGAACUGUUUAAGAGUUGGGUUCUUAAGGUACCCACAAAAGCAUGGCUGCUGCUCCUUCAGCUUGCUGCAACAAGUGGCUGAUGGAGGCUUUGAAGACGUGAUCGCCGCCAAGCAGGGGCUGAGCUGCGAGGCGUCACAUGUCACUGCUUCCGCCGUGCGAGUUUCACCUGAAAAUAGCAGCACCACCAGCGCCACUGCACAGAAGGAAACAAAGGAAAACCUAUUCAUAUUUUUCAUACACAAAAUCCCAACACUGGUGACAAAAAAUAAUAAAGUUGAAUUGUAUUUGGUGCAUUUUUGGCAUGAGCUGCGACACAAUUUAUAGGAGUUGGGAUGGUAAUUGUUGUUGUUUCUUUAGCCCAUGAUUGACGGUGUCAAACUGUCAUGACUCAUUAGUCAAUAAGUCAAGUCUUUUGGAGGUAUAAACUUCAAAACAUGCGGGUCCUUUGGGCAAUUGAAGAAGGUAGCUUUGCACAUCUCACCAUUGCACGAUGGGAUUUUAUGCUUACAUUUAAUGUAGAAAAAUUUGGUAUAGCUCUACUGUACUUUCAAUUGCAGCAUUUAUGAUUAUUAUAAUUUAAUUAAUUAAUUAAUUAAAUUUUAAAAUUAAUGACACCAGUUAUAAUUUCAAAUGUGCUAUGAUAAUUUUAUACAAAUUAAGCAAAAAUAUAGUAGAAUAGAUCAUGCUUCAAUGUAACGCAAGUUAUAAGGUAAAAUUUUUGUUUAUAAAUAUAAAAUUAUCUUUUAGAAAUCAAAAUCAAAUUGAAAACAUUGAUAUGUAUAUGAAUUUAAAUUUAAUAAAUAAGGGGACAACUCAAUGUGGUGUCUCCACUAGCCUGCCAAGAGGAUGAUAGGGGUGGCUCUUGAAUUGACACCUUGAAAAGCAUUAAAUAAGUUCAAAAUAUGGUUAGGCAGUGCCAUAAUUGCAGAUCGUGAUGGGCCUAUCAAAAUAUCUGUAUUGCAUUUAUAAACUUACCAAUCAACAUUAAAAAACUUAAAUCACAUUAACACGGAACAAAGCUUUUUGAGUUUAUUUUUAUACAUAAAUAAUUUAAUUUUUUUUAUUUUAUAAGUAGAUUAAGGGAUUAACAUAUAAUUAUUUUUUUAAAAAUUUAUAUUUAAUAUAUUAUUAAUAUAUAAAUUUUAUAUAUUAUCAAUAAAUUAAAUUAAAUUAUUUUAUUAAUAAAAGAAAUUAAAUGAUAUAAUUUUAUUAAUAAAUAAUUUUUAAAAAAUAUUAAUUUAUUUAUAUAAAAUUUGAAAGUAAGAGCAACUCAAUCUGAAUACGCUAAAUGCAUGGUGUCUGCCUGUCGGGUUACUGUCUGCUGCUGGUUAUGACGAAUGAGUGAAAGAACAAAGAAAUUUAAAUAAAAAAAAAAAAAAAAAAAAACGGGAAGAAAGAAGGAAAUUAUUGUUGUUGUGCACUAAAACUUGACUAACAAGUAAAUUUCUUGUUUAAUUGUUCUAAGAUUUGGGCUUCGUAACUAAUAGAUUCAAAUUAUUAAACUAAUAUAAUAUUAAAAAAUUUAUUUCGUAGUGCGAGCUCUUUAGGCUAUUUUGGGACACAUGCAUUUCAGUUUCUUUUUUUUUUUUUACGCCCAGAUUCCCGCCCUUGCCUUCUACCAUGUGGUUAUAAAAAUUAUUUUUUAAGUAUAUUCAUUUAAUUUUUUAAUAUCACAUGGAUGUUUGUUUUGUGACCUGCUACUUAGAGAUGUCAUGUGACCUAUAGAUAAAAUGACAGCAAAUGUUAAUAAGAUUAUUUAAUAAUAUUUAAGAUAAUAUAUAAUAAAUAAUAAUCUAAAUAUUUAAAAUUCAUAUAAGCGAAAAGUUAUUUUUCACUUGGGUAAACAAAAUUUAGUUGACAGAAAAAAGUAACUAAAAAUAAAAAUAAAAAAACUCCAAAAGUUAAAUCACAAUUAAAUGUUUUUUUCUCUAAGAUGUAAGCCAAGCUACUUUUUGAUGGUGCAUUUUAACCACAUAUUGAGUAUUGUUGCAGUCUUUAAUGGGAAUGCCCGAAGUUAAUAGAUCAAAAGCCUAACAGUGGAAGAUGAAAUGCUUUCCAAUAUCAUAAUGAUGCUGAUGUUGACUAUUCUAGCGGCAUUAACCAUUUAAUAAUAAUAAAUUGAUUGAUGGGUUAUAGAUCUUAUUCAUAGUUGGGCAAGUAAUCAUAUUGCAAUAUAUAUGAAAUAAUUGAUAAAAAAAAAUCUCAAAUCGGAUGCCUAUAGUCUCUGGUUGGUUCUUCCCCUUUAGACUUCGUUACUGCAACAGCAAGUUACCUGAUAACCAUCAUUAAACAUAUUUGUUGGAUGUAUUUGAUAAUUAAAAAAGUAUAAUAAUUUUUUUAUUAGGAGUUUUUGACAGAUAAUUAUAGAUAAUUUUAAUAUUUAUAUCGAUUUGAUUUGAUAUAUUUAGUAUCAUAUUAAUUCGAUCAUAUCAUUAUUAUUUUUUGAUAAUUUAUUUUUUUAUUUAUAAAUAUAAAUAUUAUCAUUAAGAUAAAUUUAAUUUACCUCUAAUUUUUUAUAUUAUUCUUUUAUCGACCUCAUUUAUUUUAAUUUACAUGUUAAAAUAUAAAUAUAUAAAAUAUUUUUUACUUUUACCUCUAACUAUUUUUUUUUAUCUUUUUUAAAACGUUCUUAGAUCUGAGCUCCGCAUAAACAAUAUUUUUUUUAGAUUACAUUCUUCUUGAUCAGUUCUUGGGUGAUUAUGUGGUGAGUUUUACAAGAAGGGAAAAAAUUUUCCUCUUUCUAUCACUUGAUCUCCACUUAAAUAUUCAACUUAAUAAAAAAUACAGACGUAACUUCCAUUUAAGGAGUUUGAUUGGAAUAUUUCUUUUUUUGUGAUUAAUAAUUUUAAUUAAAAAUAUUUGAAUUAAAAAAUGGGAAGAAGAUUAAAGUAAAUUAGGCUCAAUUCUAAAACAAGACCAGAAGCACAAUUGGGAAGAAAAAACGUAGGAAUUUCAAGUAAAUUUAGCUGUGAAUAGCAUUGCAUUGUGAAGGCUGCAGGAAUAUAUUUCCUUGGAACUGGACAUUAAGUAUGAACAUGGAAAAAGGUUUGUCUAAAACUUUUGAUCCAUUUGUUGAAAUUGUGUAAGGUUGACUCGGUCGCAACAAGAAAGUUCGUAGAAUUAAUUAUGAAAAUGGAAAAGUGAAUAUUUAAGUCCUUCAGAGAAAGAAAUCCAUGACGAUGAAAAAAAUAUACAUGGUUGGUGGAGCGUCCAGUUUGGUGAUUUUGGGAUUUUUCAAUUCCAAAAUCUAUCUUAUGAGAUAGACUUUUCUAAUCACCAGUGAUUUCCUCAAUUGCUAUAAGAUGACUUCCAUAAUUUUUUUUAAAGUUAUAUUUAUAAAUAAAUAUUUUAUUUAUAUAAUUAAUUAUUAUAUUAUUAAAUAAUUAAUUAAUUAUAAUUUAAUUAAAUAAUUAAAUUUACAUAUAAUAAAAUUUAAACUUAAAAUUUUUUAAAAAAUUUUUACCACUAAAUUAAGAUCUCGUUAGCUUUAGACAACUUAAAUGUGCUACAACUGUUAGGUAAUUUUAACCUUUCUCAGCCCCAAAAGUUGGCUUAAAAGAUGAGACUUUCCCUCACCACUUGCCCAAACUCCUAGAUAGGGGAUAUGUUAUUUUUAAUUCUUUUAUUUGAAAGAAAACUCUUUUUUAUAUUUUUUAAAAAUUAAUUUAAAAAAUAAUUUUUAAAUUAUAAUUAAAUAUUUAAUAUGAUAUUUAAUUUUUAAAAAUUUUUUAAAUAAAAUCUAUAAAUUUAUUAAUUAAUGUGAUAUAUAUAAUUUUAAUAUAAUUAAUUAAAAAUCAUAAUAUGUAAUAAAUAAAUAAUUCUUUAAACAUCAUUUAAUUAAUAAAUUUAUAAUUAUAUAUUAUAUUAAAAAAUUUUUAAAAUUAAAUAUCACAUUAAUAUUNNNNNNNNNNNNNNNNNNNNNNNNNNNNNNNNNNNNNNNNNNNNNNNNNNNNNNNNNNNNNNNNNNNNNNNNNNNNNNNNNNNNNNNNNNNNNNNNNNNNNNNNNNNNNNNNNNNNNNNNNNNNNNNNNNNNNNNNNNNNNNNNNNNNNNNNNNNNNNNNNNNNNNNNNNNNNNNNNNNNNNNNNNNNNNNNNNNNNNNNNNNNNNNNNNNNNNNNNNNNNNNNNNNNNNNNNNNNNNNNNNNNNNNNNNNNNNNNNNNNNNNNNNNNNNNNNNNNNNNNNNNNNNNNNNNNNNNNNNNNNNNNNNNNNNNNNNNNNNNNNNNNNNNNNNNNNNNNNNNNNNNNNNNNNNNNNNNNNNNNNNNNNNNNNNNNNNNNNNNNNNNNNNNNNNNNNNNNNNNNNNNNNNNNNNNNNNNNNNNNNNNNNNNNNNNNNNNNNNNNNNNNNNNNNNNNNNNNNNNNNNNNNNNNNNNNNNNNNNNNNNNNNNNNNNNNNNNNNNNNNNNNNNNNNNNNNNNNNNNNNNNNNNNNNNNNNNNNNNNNNNNNNNNNNNNNNNNNNNNNNNNNNNNNNNNNNNNNNNNNNNNNNNNNNNNNNNNNNNNNNNNNNNNNNNNNNNNNNNNNNNNNNNNNNNNNNNNNNNNNNNNNNNNNNNNNNNNNNNNNNNNNNNNNNNNNNNNNNNNNNNNNNNNNNNNNNNNNNNNNNNNNNNNNNNNNNNNNNNNNNNNNNNNNNNNNNNNNNNNNNNNNNNNNNNNNNNNNNNNNNNNNNNNNNNNNNNNNNNNNNNNNNNNNNNNNNNNNNNNNNNNNNNNNNNNNNNNNNNNNNNNNNNNNNNNNNNNNNNNNNNNNNNNNNNNNNNNNNNNNNNNNNNNNNNNNNNNNNNNNNNNNNNNNNNNNNNNNNNNNNNNNNNNNNNNNNNNNNNNNNNNNNNNNNNNNNNNNNNNNNNNNNNNNNNNNNNNNNNNNNNNNNNNNNNNNNNNNNNNNNNNNNNNNNNNNNNNNNNNNGGCUGAUGGAGGCUUUGAAGAAGUGAUCGCCGCCAAGCAGGGGCUGAGCUGCGAGGGGUCACAUGUCACUGCUUCCGCCGUGCGAGUUUCACCUGAAAAUAGCAGCAGCACCAGCGCCGCUGCGCAGAAGGAAACAAAGGAAAACCUCUUCAUAUUUUUCCUACACAAAAUAGUAAAACUUGUGAAAAAAUAAUAAUAAAGUCGAUUUGUAUUUGGUGCAUUUUGGGCAUGAGCUGCGACACAAUUUAUAGGAGUUGGGAUGGUAAUUAUUGUUGUUUCUUUAGCCCAUGAUUGACGGUGUCAAACUUUCAUGACUCACGAGUCAAUGAGUCAAGUCUUUUGGUGGUCUAAAAGGUCCUUUGGGGAAUUGAAGAAGGUAGAUCUGCAAAUACCACCUUCGCACAAUUGGAUUUUACGCUUACAUUUAAUGUAGAAAAAUUUCGGUAUAGCUCUGCUGUACUUCCAAUUGAAGCAUACCAUUUAUGAUUAUUAUAAUAUAAUAUAAUUAAUUAAUUAAUUUUUCAAAUUAAGUGAUUUUCAUCAAAACUUUAUAUAAAACUUACAUUUAUGAAUAGUGAAUUCUUAUAUGAUUUUUUAUUUGUUGUAAUUAGAUAAUUGUAAAAUUAUAAUAAAUAAUUAUAAGUGAAAUAUUUUCACUUUAAAAAAAAAACUAAGUGGAAAAACAAAUGUUGACAUGGAGUAAUAUUAUUGAUUAAGCAUAUAGCUGACUUGGUAGGAGUAACCUAUGUAAUAAUUUAUCAUAGUAGGAAUAACUUAUGUAAUACUUUAUCUUAAUUUUGAUUCAAUUUUAAAAUAACUAUAGAUGAAAAUUUUGUGAAAUAUCUUUAGAAUCUUUCUUUGCUUUCUUACCAGAUAGUGUUUUUGUUAUCUGUUAACUUUAAAUAUUUGACCCAAAUUAAAUGUGUAGGUUUAUUAUUGCAUAUUCUUUUUAAGUAAUUUUGUUCCAUCAUCUUAACUUUUACCUAAAAAUAUUGGGAUAAAUUUGGACUUUAGCCCAAAAGAUUUUUCUUUUUUUUGCUUUUUAUCGUUGACCUACUUUUCUUUUUUUUCUUCUUCUUCUUCUUCUUCCUAUUAAAUUAGUAUUAUCUUUAAUCAACAUUAGUUCACCCGUUGAUUUUUCCUUCAAAUUCCCUUCUUUGUUAUUGAAAGUUAGGUUAAGAUUGUAAAAACUUCAAGGCCGGAUAGAAAAUAGAAAGAUAAAAAUUGGAAGAGAAGAAAAGUAGAAAGAUGAAAAACAUUUUUUUUUUCCUUUCCAUUGAUAUGUAUUGUGCUUCAUUGGAAAAAAAAAAAGUAUUUUAUUUGUAUCCAUUGUUUGGUAGAAUUAAUGAAAAAUGAAAGGAAAGAACAUAAAAAUUAUAUUAGUUUACUAUUAUAACCUUUUAUAAAUUAAGAUAGAAAGUAAAAAAUCUUAAUAUUAUAGGCAAUCUUUUAAAUAUACAACAUAUACUCACACCUUUCCUAUUUUCUCUCUUCUUUUCUUUUUGAUUUAGAAUGAUUUGUAUUUGUGAAUAAGUGUGAAAUUUAACACCUUUCCUAUUUUGUUUUCUCACUUUUCUUUCAUACAAACCACAUUCACAAUUCAUUUUCUUUCUAUAUUUCCAUUCCCUCUAUUCAUCCUUUUACUUUUAAAUAUACUCACACCUUUCCCAUUUUCUCUCUUUUUUUCUUUUUGAUUUAGAGUGAUUUGUAUUUUUGUGUGAAAAUUUGACAUAUUACCUCUAUUUAAGGGUGCUUUGUUUAUGUUUCUCAAAGUCGUUGAGUCUCUGCUUAGAGAAGCUUUGAUAAAUUUUUUUUAAAAAAAAAAAAAAGCAAAAAAACAAAAAAGUUGCCUCUAUUUAGAGGAGCUUUGAUCAAAAUUUAAAAAAAUGGGCAAAAAAAAAAUCCAAUUAAGUCUUGAAUGGGUGUCUACAUCUUUGCACAAUUUUUGUUUCACAAAAAAAUGUGCAAAGAGAAGCAGCUGUAGACACCCCAUUUUGUCUAGAAUCCUUUGUCAUUUGAAACUAAUCCUAGCUCAAUUGCAGGGAUUUUUAUUCAUUUUUGUUUUAGAUUUUUUUUAUUUCAUAUUUAUCAAUUUUAUUUUUAUUUUUAUGAUUUAUUUUCUUUUUUUUCUUUUGAUUAUCUGAUAAAAAAAAAAGGCUGAAAGCUUGGUGAUUGUGAUGAUUGUUAUCUAGAUGCUAAUCUUUAGCAUUAGAUGACUAAUUGGAAUUGAAUUGAAACUCUAUCAGCAUGGGUCUAUAUAUCAAUAAUGAAUAUACAAGCUGGAAGGGGGGGGAGAAAAGAUAGAAGAAGGAUCCGAAUAGGAGAUAAGAAGAAUCCGAAUAGGAGAAGAAAAAAAAUAGAGGAAAAAGAUGAGUCUGCACCCAGUUUGCAUACCAAGAGUCGUUGCGUGUUGGGGCAGUAUUUCCCCCAAGAUCUGAGAGUUUUGCACCCGUACUUACUCCUCAAACACAACCUUUGUCUUCUUAUCCCCCAAAAUAUUCACAAUUCUGAUCGGCACGAGACAGCUGAGUCUUCUACGGUGCCUGAGUUCCCAACCCUCAGUUUGACAGAAAUUCAGAAUGCACGGGGUAUUAUGGAUGUUCUUUCAGAAAUGCUAAAUGCAUUAGACCCUGGAAACAAGGAGGGACUUAGGCAGGAGGUGAUUGUUGACCUAGUGGGGCAGUGCCGUACCUACAAAUAAAGAGUUGUACACCUUGUUAAUUCAACAUCGGAUGAGUCACUUCUAUGUCAAGGUUUAGCAUUGAAUGAUGAUUUGCAGCAUGUACUAACAAAGCAUGAAGCAAUAGCUUCAGGGAGUUCUUCUCAAGCAGACAAACCUAAGCCUGAACCUGCAAGAGAACUUGUGAAUGUCAAUGGCCCCCUAGUUGAUACCGGGGAUAGCAGUAAGCAGUCUGAUAGGAGAUCCUCCACUAGAACUGGUGCAAGUUCUCAACCAUUUAAUCAGUUAUUGCUUCCUACUCCUCCAGCAACAAAGGGUUCAACUCCUCCAGCAGCAAUCAAUCCCAAAAUAGACCUGCUUAGUGGUGAUGACUACAAUUCACCGAAGGCAGAUAAUUCACUGGCCCUUGUUCCUUUGGGAGAACCACAAUAAACAACUCCUGCAUCACAACAGAAUGCCCUUGUUCUCUUUGAUAUGUUCUUUGAUAGUAACAACACCUCUGAUUCUGUUAACACCCAGUUUUUGGGUUUAGAUGGACAAACCAAUCCUUGGACUCCUCAAAUUCAGCAGCAGCAGCAGGAUUUUCAUGCAAAUGGAACUACACCAAACAUGGGAUCACCUCAAUAUGAGCAGUCAUAUGCUCAAGGCACAGGUCCUGCCUGGAGUGGUCAGUUGGUUCCACAACAGCAGCCCUCCUCACCUGUCUAUAGUGCCCAGAGUAGUGGCUCGCUACCACCACCACCCUGGGAAACACAGGCAGCAGAUUCUAGCCCAGUUACAGGUGCUCAAUAUCCUCAGUCAGUGGUUACUCAAGUUAGUGUAACACAUGGCCAACCUUAAGGACCUCAACAUAUGAGAAGUGAUCAGGUGGUGGGUAUGUACGUUCAGCCAAUCACAACCGGUCAUUUGUCAGCAAUUAAUAACGAGGCUGUUCAGGGAAACCGAUUUGCUGGUUUUCAUCCUCAACCAGUUUUGGGAGCACAGUAUAUGGGCAUACUUCCACAGCAAAUGGCUCAUAUGUAUCCUCAACAAAUGUAUGGCAACCAAAUGGGAGCAUAUGGUUAUAGUCAGCAACAAUAUCUUGAUCAGCAAAUGUAUGGGCUCUCCAUCAGAGAUGACAAUGUCCUGAGAAACUCUUCCUACCAGGUUUCAACUUCGUCUUACAUACCACCGAGCAAGCCUUCAAAACCAGAGGAUAAGCUGCUUGGAGACCUUGUUGACAUGGCAAACCAGUAAAUUUCAGAUGUGGUGAUGAACACAAACUAGUUGGUUUUUCAGCAACACAUCAAGCCAUUAUUUCCUUCGUGGAAAAUGGAGGAGAUCGUGUCAAAUUGGUGAAGGCUAUGGACAAUCUAGUGGAACCGCGUCGAAUUCCUCAAGUCAAGAUAAUUUUUUUUUUGGUAUUUUAUUUAUUUAUUUAUUUGUUUUUUUGUGUUAGUUAUUUUCAUGAGUAUUUUUUUUUUUGCAAAAAAAUAAAAAUUUUCAAAAAGAAAUAUUUUUGAGGAAAAGUUGAAAGUAUCAAUUUUUCUUAAAAAUAAAUUUUCGAAAAAGUUUUUGAGGAAAAAUUGAAAGUAUCAAUUUUCCUUAAAAAUAAAUUUUCAAAAAAAGUUUUUGAGAGAAAGUUGAAAGUAUCAAUUUUCCUCGAAAAUAAAAGUUUUCAAAAAAUAUUUUUGGGGAAAAGCUGAAAGUAUCAAUUUUUCUUGAAAAUAAAUUUUUAAAAAAUAAAUUUUUGAGGAAAAGUUGAAAGUAUCAAUUUUCCUCGAAAUUAAAGUUUCAAAAUGAUAUUUUUUGAGAAAAGUUGAAAGUAUCAAUUUUUCCUGCACAAAAACAAUCAUUUUUUUCUUUCUUUUUAUUUUUUAAAUGUUAAAUAAUCCAACGAUGGAGCUUCUGCAAGUGAAACAGUAGUUUUCUUGCAUACUCCUGAGGUGGGGGGAUUUUCUCAAUUUUUUGCUAAAAGUAUUAGAGUCAAUUGAGAAUAAUUUCCAAUAACUAAUUACUUGGUAAAUUUUUAAGGCUUAUUGGAUAACAUAAAAUUAAGCUGGUGCCAUCUUUUGAUGGGCGUUGUGAGGGUGCUAUAACCUUCCUCACACGUAACCGAACUCCCAAACUCUGUUCUGGUUAGUAGACCCGAACCUAUUCUUUUAAGGACCCUUAAACUUAGGUGUUUCCUGAAAGGAUAGAUUCCUUAGGUGGCUAAUCGCACCUAGAUAAAAAAGAUUGGUAACGACUCCCUUAAGUCAAUGUCUAGCGAUAGAUCCCUGGAUCUAGACGUUAUGACAUAGAGUUAAUAUAAUAUUUAGAAUUGAUACACAAUAACGAUCAAGGAAAAACUUUUAAUAAACAAAUUUAUAUACCUUACUAGGAUGUUUUGUUUUUGCACCAUCAGCAUUUGUGGGCUUUGUUCUCUUUUUUUGAGGCCUUGAAGUUCCAUCAGUGGCCUAUAGCAAGUAAAAAUAAUUAAUAACAGCAAAUGCAUUGAAUGAAGUAAUAGCCUUACAAAUGCAUUAGGUCUAGUAAUAGACUUACAAAUUCUACUCAUUUAAAACAUCCUAACUUGUUGUGGCUCUCUUCAUGUUGUUGUGGCCCUCUUCAUGACAAUAACCACAAGUCAUCUUCCUUUUACCCUUGAUAUGUUGGUUCCUUUCUUUGGUUCAAGUGGUUCUUUUCUUCUUUUCUUAGUAGGUCUACCAAACAUUCUUUUGACCAAAGGACGAAAAACUAACCCAUGAUGGAUUUGGGCUAAAAUAGUCUUUUUCUAACAGGAUUUAACAUGUGCUUCUAUGCACACAAAUAUGUUUUCCUAUUAAACCAUGAACUUAAAUAAUUAAGAGGAUUUGAUUUUUCAUACAAUAUUGCAUUUAUAACAUGCUCACAAGGAACUCCACUUAUGUCCUACUUCCUAUAUGAACAUGAAUGCUACAGCAAAAUCACAAUGUAACUCUCUCUUUGUAUGAAGUAUGUUCUCCUAAUAAACUUCAUAUCUAACACCUCUUGACCAUUCAACCUCCCACUUAGCAGAUAGCCUUUUUGGUUUUUUAAGUUUAUCUACAAUCCUUAAUGCAUAAUUAGUUUUUUUAUUUGCCUACAUACUCUUUUCUCUAAACCAAUCUCUUCAUCGCAUAUAGUUUAAUGUCUUCUAACAUGCUAAUGAUGGACUUAUGCCCAACUUCCAAAAUCACAUCAAUGAAAGUUUCACACAUGUUAUUAUCAAUGACAUCACAUUUAAUGAUGUCACUGAAAAAAGCUUGGCACCAAACUUAGAUUGGCCAUUUCUCCAAUAAAUUUUUUUUACAAUCAAAUUUCCUUGAAUGCUUUCCAUAACCUGUAACUUUGCAACUGUGGCUGGUUAGGUUACAACUACAGGUCUUUUCCCUUAUACUUCUUCCCUCACCUAGCAUAGAUAUGCCUAGCACACAUCAUUUGCUUAACAAAAGGCAAGAUGUCCCUAACAGAUCUUAUUAAACCUUAUUAAAAAAAAUAAAAAUGGUAUUAAUAGAAUCUCAUAACAUGACCAUUUAUAUAAACAGUUAUAUAAGAAUAAAGUUUAAUUUACAUAUCUUUUACAUGUACUUAGUACUAACCAUCCAAGUCUACAUUUAAUUUCUAAAUCAGCACAUAAUUGAGCAAAAAAACCAUGUCUAAAUGGCAGUUGGCUUUUUAUCCAUAACAGCCCACGCAAUUAGGAAUAUUUGAUUGUUUCCCUCUCUCCCUACAGCCACAAGCAACUGCCUUUAACCAAUCAUUUAAGGAAACACCCAUCAAGUCUAAUAAUAUGUUUACACCAUUUUAAAAAUCCUUACUUCAAAGCUCCAAAACAAAUAAAUAUAUUUUCAAAUGUAGGCACUUCAUCAAUGGCUGCUUUUUUAGAUGUAACAAAAAUAAUGCUUCCAGCAUUUUUUAAAUUUAGUUCCUCCACAUAAUCAUUCAAAGCAUUAAAUUUUUUGUUGCAUUUUUCUUUCAUUUUUUUUAUUCACAAUACCCUUCACUACUCUACACACAUCAUAAGAAACAAUAACCCCUAAUUCUCUCCUCACAAUUACCUUUAAAUGCCUAAGCUUAAUGAAGGGCAUAACAACUAUUUGUUCACCAUUUUUUCUUGCAAUCACAAGGUUUGUCACCAUUCUAUUUUUUGAUAUGGGCAUACAUGAAUGCUCAGACACAUGUUUUAACAAUAUAUAUUAUUACUACUACAUUGGGAGCAUACAAUAGCCCACUUAUAGCCUUUGCCACUAAAUAUUGUAUUAUAAUGAUUUUGGGGAUCGCUAAACAAAAAUUUUAAAAAUCAAAUCAAAACCGAAAAAGUCACCACCAAUUUUUUUUGUUAGGUGUGAUUGGCCACUUAAAAAAUUAUCUUUUUUAAUAAAAUAUUAAAGUUAAUUAAAACAUAUUAAAAAGAUAAUUAUCUUGGUUUACAAAAAAUAAAGUUGGGUUUAGGAGUACAGUUAUAGGUGGGAAAGAAUUAGUACCUCCACAAUGCUCUUUUUAAAAAUGGUCCAAUAAACUAUGUGUUAUACUUUAAUUUUGAUAAAAAAGGUCAUAAUUUUGAUAUUUAAAAAUAAUUUCCUUUCUUUGUUGCAACCAAAACAUCAUUUUCUUUUCUUUCUAAUCUUUUGCCUAAAAAAAAAUAAGAACCUUGUGCAUUGAAAUUUUUUCUAAAAUAUUUCAAUACUAUGACAAUAUUAAAACAAAAUUUCUCAACUAGGAAUCACCUAAAAGUCACUACUCAGACUUCUCAAGAAUCUCAUCCUUAGCAGUUCAUAUUUAUAUUAAAAAUUGAUAUUUAUACAAAUAUAAUGCAAAUAGUAAAAUAUAAUGCUCAUAAUUUAAUGUAAACAAUAUUUUAUUUUCUUUGUCUUUUAUAAAAAUUUAUUUAUUUAAUUUUUAAUAAAAAUAUUUUUUGAAAAUUAUCCUAAAUACUCCAAUACUUUGAUAGUAUUUCAGAAAAAUCUUCUCAUUUAAAAAUUUCUUAAAAAUCACUACUUUGGACUUUCUUAGAAUCUCAUCAUCGAAAAUUUAUUUUUUAAAAUUAUUAAUAUUUCACCCUAAAAGUUAUAACAUGAUACAAUUUUCAAUAAAUAAGUUUACUUAUUAAAAAAAAGCAUAUUUUUAUAAAUAUUUUAUAUUUUUUUAAGAAAUUUAUUUGAAUUAAAAAAAUGACAAUCUUUGUCUUGAAAAAUGUGUCUAAACAUUCUAAUUCUUUAGCAAUUUUUAGAAAAAAAUUUUGACCUAAAAAAUAUUCGAGAAUCACUAUUUUGACUUAUCAGAAUUCCAUCAUAAAAAAAUUCUCUAUUUGUUAUCAAUUACUAAUAUUUCGUAAUAGAAAUUUUACAAUAACAUAAAUAUUCAUAAGCAACCAUUUCCUAAAAACACAUAUUAUUAAAUAAUAAAAUCAUAAUUGCAAACAUUAAAACAAUUAAAUAUAAAAUAUAACAAAAUAAAUAGCCAUAUGAGAAAGAAAUACACCUAAAUGAAGCUCUUGAGUUUGGAUCCAAAGUAAAGCCAAGGUACCAUGUGGAACUAAAUUGGUGGAUUGCUUAUUAGGCUUAAUCUGGACCAAACUGGUACAAAAACAGGUUGAUUAACGGAUCCUAUUUAGGUCGGUGGGUUAAUGGGUCAGUCAACAAAAGCUUUUUUUUCACUUUAUAAAGCCUUCAUUUUUUUUAUUCAUUUAAUUUCCUUCAAACUAAAAAAAAAAUCCAUGUCUCUUUGAACCAAAAAAAUGGUUGGCCUCUAUCACCCCAAUUUCUAGCAUUCCAUGGUCGAGCUAGUCAUUGCACUGCCAUCAUUGGUCAAUGCUAGAAAAUUCCCCCAAAAACUUCUCCCAACUUCUUUUCCGCUAUUCUUUUCAUUUUCAAACUUAGUUUUCUCAAAAAAAAUACCUCUAGAGUUACGAAUCUAAGAUAUUAAAUUGAAACUUUGAAUUAUUAUUUACCCUCUUUUCACUAUCUAGUCGUCCCAAAAUUCUAGUAUGUUGUUGUCUUCCCUCUCCUCUUCUCUACCAUGGUCUUCGAUCAUCCAAAACUCACACCGCCAUAAACCACCACUCUUGCCACUGUGCCAACGAUGUUGCUGUUCAAACCCAAAAAUGACUAGAAAUUUCUCUCCUCAAAAUUGAUGCAACUAUAUUUCAAACAAAAAAAUCAAAUUCCAAGGAAAUAGAAAAAAAUUCAUCGAAAUCCCAACUCUUUUUAUUUUAGUAUUUGUUGCUUUCUUUUUUUACUAUCAUUUUUCUCUUCCUUUUUUUAUGGUUCUUUUUAUGCUUUCUUAGCUGUUUGUUACUGAUGUUCCUCAAAAGGGUGUAGACACCCAAUUGGGUCUGGCCCAAAUGGGUAAGGUCCAAUUGAAUUUUUAUCUUUUUUUUUUUUGUAUAUCUGUAUUUAUUUAUUUUUAUUUAGAAUAGAUUUAUAUGUAUAAAGUUAUAUAUUUAUUAUUAUUAUUAUUUAUUUUUGUAAUAUAUUUUUGGGUUUAUCUUAUUUUAUUUUUUAAAUUAUCUGUUAAUUUUAUCUGAUUCUUUUUUAUUAUCUGAUUAUUAUUUUUUUUUCUUUUUAUCCUAUCUUUUCUAAUUAUCUAUUAUUUUUAUUUUUUUAUUUGAUUUUGGAGGGCUGGGAUUGAAAGUUGAAGAAUCCCAUUGUGAAUGGGAAUUCAAUCAGAAGAGUCCAGAUUGGACUCAAAGAUUGAAUUCCCGUCCAAAGAGGAAUUGGGAUUGAUUAGAAACUCCUGAUCAAUCCCUAUAUAAAAGACCCCUGGAACAGAUGCAAAGACACAAAAAACAAUGAGCAAAGCUACUGAUUUGAGAGAAAAUGAGGCGUAUAGGAAGCUAAGAAAAGUUUAGGAGUGUUCUGGGAGCUAGCAGAAAUUUUUUAGAAUUUUUCGUGAUUUUUUUUUUUUUGGGAAUUUCUGGAAAUUCCAGAUUCCGGUGAAGUUUAAAUUUUUCGAUGAAAAUUUCGGCCAACCUUGAAGUUUCCGGUGACCAGCCCAGUUUUCGACGAAGAAUCCUAGAAACUAGUGAUCUUUCGGCCAACUUCCGGUGAACUUCUGACCAAAUUUCCAGAUUUCGACGACAUUUUCCAGAAUCCGACGGAAAUUUUAUCGGUGUUCUUCAGCCUUUUUAGAGAGAAUGGAGAGAAAAAAGGAAGAAGAGAGAGAGAGGGGAGGAGCGUUCUGCCGAAAAACAGAGGGAAGUGCCUUUUAUACCCUCUCAAAAUGACGUAGUUUUGGCCUUAAGUAAUCUAGAGGAUCCACGCGUUUUGUCAAGAUCCGACCCGACCCGAGCGUCGACCUGCUUCCUGACCCGCGCAUGCCUUCCCCCCUCCGAGCCAAGCCGAGCCGAGCUGAGCUCCCAAGCCGCUUGUCCGAGCCGUUUUUUUUUUCUUGAGCCGAGCUGAGCCGCUAUUCGAGCCGCUCCAGGUUUUUUUUUUUUUUGAAUUUUUUUGAAUUUUUUUUAUUUGUUUUUUUAUUUAUUUUUAUUUAUUUAUUAGAUUAGGCUUAUUUAAUAUUCUUUUUAUCUUAAUUUUAUUUUUUUUGUUUUACUUUUCUUUAUUUUAUUUUUUUUUAAUUUUUUUAUUUAUUCUAUUUUCUUUAAAUAAAAAUAAAUUUUCAAAAAAAUAUUUUUAGGGAAAAGUUGAAAGUAUCAAUUUUCCUUGAAAAUCAAAGUUCCAAAAAAUAUUUUUGGAGAAAAGUUGAAAGUAUCAAUUUUCCUUAAAAAUAAAAUUUCAAAAAAAGGGUUUUUGGGGAAAAGUUGAAAGUAUCAAUUUUUCUACACAAGAACAAUCAUUCUUUCCUUCCUUUCUAUUUUGAUUUUGAUUUUUAUUUUUCUUUAAUUAAUCCGACGACAGAGCCUCUGCAAGUGAAACAGUAGUUUUUCUUGCAUACUCCUGAGGUGAGGGAAUUUUCUCAAUUUUCUGCUAAAAGUAUUAGAGUCAAUUGAGAAUAAUCUUCAAUAAUUAACUACUUGGUAAAAUUUUAAAGCUUUUGGAUAACACAAAUUUAAGCUGGUACCAUCUUUUGAUGGGCGUUAUGAGGGUGUUAUAACCUUCCUCACACGUAAUCAACUUUCGAACCCUGUUCUGGUUAGCAGACCCGAACCUAUUUUUUUAGGGGCCCUUAAACUUAGGCGCUCCCUGAAAGGACAGAUUCUUUAGGUGGCCAAUCGCACCUAGAUAAAAAAGAUUGGUGACGACUCCUAAAAGUCAAUGUCUAGCGAUAGAUCCCCGGAUCUAGACGUUAUGACAGCUUGGCGACUCCGCUAGGGACCUUGAGAGUCAGGCCAGCAAAUAAUUUAUGUUAUCCAAAAGCCUAAUAAAAUUGAACCCUUCUGUAUAUAUGUGUUAUUAUUCAUUCAUGUUUAUUUGCUUUGUUAAUUAUGUCAUUCAUGUGCAUGUGCAUAAUAUGAGUUCUACACCCGAGCUCCGUCCCUCUAGGAGAGAGUAAAGUACCUAUUGCUUUCGUGAGGUCGAAUGCCUCCGCAGUGGCUAGCGAAAUACUCCCACUCAAAUUGAACCUUUUCCACUUGUAGCCUGUAAUGGGUGAGGAUUAGGGUGCCUCACUAGUCUGUGAUGGACAGGGAUGUAAGGAGCAAUUUGAGGACCUUUAGACUCUGACCUUAAAAUCACAUGUAGUGAACUUUAAGAGUGCCUACACCUAGGAUAGAGCUCUUUCUUCCUAAUGAUAGAUAUACCCUAAAAUUAGGAUACAAAAAGGGUGUUUAUCUAAUCAUUUUGAUUGCUUAACUUUGUGUAUUAUUUUUAUCAUAUGUAACAUUAUGCAUCAGCAUCACUUACGUUUCAUCCACGAAACUAACUAUGUUGUUUGUCUGAUUGUAUGCAUCUGUAUUCUUUUCAUGAUCAUGUUUCAACACAAUCAUUUGCAUUCAUUUCAUACUAGAUUUCAUUCAAAAAAUGUACAUUUCAUUUGUGUAUCAAAGCAUCAUACAUAAGGCAUAGCAUAACAUUUCUAAUCAUAAGUAUGGUACUCAAGGUCCGAGGAUAGCUCCAUCUAGCGAAAACCCUGCUCAUCCAUACAACACAAGAUCCAGAGCAAGGCAAAUGGAAAAGGAAAGUUUUCAUAGAUUUGAAAAGCUAGAAAAAGCUCAGGAGAAGAUUAAAAGUGAACUAAGCAAGAUUCUGGAGGCCCUUAAUAACAUGAAUAAAGGAAAAGGAGUUGAAAGAAGUACAAGCCAGCAAGAAGUGGCUGACCUUUUGUACCCUCCAGGUUUUGGUCCACCUCAAGCCCAGUCUGCCCAAGAGGUCCCGCCACAACAUUCUGCAUAUCCUGAAAUGCCAUCAGCUUUUAACCCAGGAUAGUAUAAUAGCUAUAUAAAUCUUGUAUUCACUGAAAAAGUAGUAGAACCAGUUCCUAAUCUAGAUGAUUUAAAAGAGAAGGAAAAAGAAAAGAUAAGAGUGAAAGUUCAAGAAAGCUCUAAAAUUAGCAUGCUAGAGCAAAGGUUACGGGCUGUGGAAGGAUUUAGCUUUUAUGGGUCAGUUGAUGCUGCUGGGCUCUGCCUAGUUCCUGAUGUGGUUAUCCUCUAUAAGUUCAAAGUAUCGAAGUUUAAAAAAUAUGACGGUACAAAGUGCCCCAAAACCCACAUCACCAUGUAUUGCAGAAAGAUGGCAGCUCAUGCACAUGAUAAAAAAAUCUUGAUCCAUGUCUUCUAGGAUAGCCUUACUGGUUCUGCUGUCAGGUGGUAUGUUCAGUUGGAUAGGACCCACAUUCGCUCUUGGAGCGAUAUGGCACAUAACUUCAUUAGUCAAUAUCGACAUAUUAUCGAUUUGACCUCUGAUCGUUUGUCUUUACAGAAUCUGAAGAAAAAGGUAAACGAGUCUUUUAAAGAAUACGCCCAGAGAUGGAGAGAUAUAGCUUCACAGUUACAACCUCCAUUGAUAGAAAAAGAGACUACUGUAUUAUUUGUUAGCACUUUGAAACCUCCCUAUUAUGAAAAGAUGAUAGGGAAUGCAACAAAAAAUUUCGUUGACAUGAUAAUCUCUGGAUAAAUUAUUGAAAGCGCCAUAAAAAAUGGUAAGUUGAAAGGAGGAGAAACCAAGAAGACAUAAAAAAAGAAAGAAGCUCAAGCUCAAGCUGUGAGCUUUGAUAGACAACAAUUCAGGGGUUAUCAACCCUAUCCAUCUCAAGGUUACUCUCCAUACGAUUUUGCUGUGAACAAUGUCUCAUCAUACCCAUACCAGCUAGCUCCACAACCACCUUAUUCAUCCACAUACCGAUCAAUUUAUAGCCCUCAAGAUCUCACAUACAGCCUCAACAUUCAAGCUCCUGCAAGAACCCAAGUUCGCCCUAUUAACCCAGUAAGUGGUUCACGAGAACAACGAACUACUCGAGAAAAACCUAUAUUUGAUCCAAUCCCUAUGACUUAUACAGAGUUAUAUCGAGAACUCUAUAAUAGCCACUUGAUUACCCCCAGCCAUGUGGAGUCGCUUAAACCACCCUACCCAAAGUGGUAUGAUCCUACAGCCCACUGUGACUAUCACUAUGGAAUUACUGACCAUUCUAUUAAAAAUUACAUUGCUUUAAAGUAUAAGGUGCAAUGGUUGAUCAAUGAUAGAAUGGUAAGUUUUGAUCAAGGAAAAGCAACAACAUCUAAUGUUAGCGCUCUGAGUGAAAGUCAAAAACAGAAAGGGUCCGAAGAAUCACAAUGAAUUGAGGGGCAAGAUGUCAAUAGAGAUUCUUCACAUGAUCGCAUAGGGGGACAAUUUUAAAAAAUGAAGAUAAGGCUGGUUGAAGGUUUCUUAGGAUUUCUUUUCGAGUGAUUGUUGGAUUUCUUUUUGCAAUGUGACUUCGCUUGUUAUCAUUUUAAUAAAGGCAAGUCAAUGCAUUUCAUUACAUUUUUCUCUUUUCACUUAACCAUUAUUCCAUGCCCUGUUACCUUCCAUAACUUCACAUUCCCCAUUCUUAAAUUUCAUAUGAUAAAUAUUUAGACAAUGAUAACAAUAAUUCUGGGAUUUAAUUUUGAGCACUCAUCCACGUUAAUGUGAGGAGAUGAUUUGAGCAAAAAGUAAGCUGUUACUGAAAGUUAAAUAGAUAUGUCUUGAAGGUAUGCAAUCUUUUAUACAAGUUCAUGAGCUUUGUUCAAUAGAUGAUGUUCAAGAAAGGUAUUCACAAUUAGAUGAAAAAUGGCCAUCUUUCUCUUACCAUUUGAAAAACUAUUUAUUAUUACCCCUUUGAGCUUAUCAUUUUUUUUUAAGAACCCCAACCAAGGAUCACCCUCUACACUGGAGGGUAAAUUUUGAAAAAAAAAAAGAAAAAAAAAUACCACAAAAGGUCUCAAAAAUGGAAAGAGAAAGAAAAGUAAAAGAAAAAUAAAUGCCACACAUGAUUUGGGGUAAAGUAAUGAGAAUCCUUUGUGUGAAGAAAGAAAAAUAGUGAAACGAUGUGGGGGCAAAAUGCCAAGUUGUAUCAAAUGAUCAUUUGGUUUUGAACCUUUUUAAUACAUGUUUUGAGCCUAUUAUAUCCUUUUUUUAUGACCCUUCACAUUGGCCUACAUUACAACCUUGAAAAGUCUAUUUGGAUCAAAUGUGAAUACUCAACUUGAAUGAUCAUAGGUUAAGCAAAGACAUGCUCAUGAUGAAGCAAUGGAAUCAUGCUACAUGAAAGAUAUCAACAAUGGAUGAAAAAUGAGAAAAGAGAAAAAAAUAAGAAAAAAUAAGAAAAAUAAGAAAAAAAUAAGAAAAAAAUAAGAAAAAAAAGGAGAAAAAAUAAGAAAAUGAAAAAAAUAAAAAAGAAGAUUCAAAUUGAAAACCUGAAAGGGUGAUUUUGGUAGGAAAAAAAAAAAGAUCCAGGUCAAAUGGCUCACAUGAAUAAAAGAUCAAAGACAUCUGAAGAUCCCUCAAAGACUGGACAGAGUUCAUCAAGCUCAAGAUUACUUCAACAGUAAAUGGAAUGAGGGGUGAUUUUGGUAGCAAAAAAAAAAGAUCCAGGUCAAAUGACUCACAUGAAUGAAAGAUCAAAGACAUCUGAAGAUCCCUCAAAGACUGGGGCAGAGUUCGCCAAGCUCAAGAUGACUUCAACAAUAAAUGGAAUGAGUUUUUGAACAAGAAUCCUAGAUUAAUGUUGAGAAUUUUCCGAAUAUUCAUCAUUUGGACAUACCAUCCAUCCCAAUGACAUAUAUCCAAUUUAUGUCCUUUCUCAUUUGUGUUAUACCAAAAUAGAUCUUCAGUGAUAAUUCACCUUAUGUUCUCUUGUUAUUUCACCCCUAAAUGAAUUGAGAAAAUGCUUGAUUGCAUUGUAUUUGUCAAGAUUUGAAAUGAUAAUGAAUGAAUGAAUAUGUGCUUAAAAAAGUCUUGUAUUCAUUUGAGAAGAAAUCUAAGAUGAUGAUGGUAACAAAAUGGUAGAAAGAGAUGGUUGUGAAUGAUAUAUGAUGUGAUCAAAUGAAGAAUAUAAUGGGGCAAAUCUUGAAAAGUGAUGAAUUGAUCUAUAUGACUUGCAAGUUAUGAUUGAAUGAUGAAGACAAUCAGUGGACAGAAUUGUUUUUGAAUGGUUAAUGCUGAGACACCUAUGAGUAAUGACCCAGUGAUGGUGGAUGAAACUUGUUAGUGCUGAGAAAUUCAUUGAAUGAUGGUCAAGUGAUGACCGAUUGAUGAAGCUUAUUCCAAAGUAUUGAGAAACUGAACAAGGAAAAAUAUGAAUGGAAAAGACAAUUGAGAGCUACAUUGGUUCGAUCUUAGAAGAGCAGUGUAAUUAGAUCUCUGAAGAAUCAAAGGGCUUGAUGCCUAAGAAAAGAGCUUGAGAAAUUUGAGUACCAUACAUUGAAUAGGAAUUAAUUGGCCAACAUUUGCAUAGCAUGCAUUGAAAUUCAUGCAUUUGCACAUCAUACACUACUUUCAGAAAAGUAUAGUGUAUAAAUUCAAAAAGCAGGGGUGCUCCAACAUCCCACAUAGAGAAGACAGAUAGAAAGAUAUUUUGCAAAAUUGAAAAAGAAAAAAGCUUGUCAGGUAAGUUCCUAAUCCUUGAAAUAGGAUGUCUUUUGGUAUCAGGAUUGAUUUAUAAGACCUUUGGGCAUAAUCUCCUGAAAUUCCUUCAAACACAACUUUCAACUCCUUUGGACAUGAUUGUCAAGGAGUAAUUUACUUUUUCAAAGUCGUGGUGCCUCUGUUUAGAGGAGCAAUUUACUUCUCCAAAGUCAUGGUGCCUCUGUUUAGAGGAGCAAUUUACUUUUCCAAAGUCGUGGAGCAAUUUACUUUUCCAAAGUCGUGGUGCCUCUGUUUAGAGGAGUAAUUUACUUUUCAAAGUCGUGGUGCCUCUGUUUAGAGGAGCAAUUUACUUUUUCAAAGUCGUGGUGCCUCUGUUUAGAGGAGUAAUUUAUUUUCCAAAGUCGUGGUGCCUCUGUUUAGAGGAGCAAUUUACUUUCCAAAGUCGUGGUGCCUCUGUUUAGAGGAGCUAUUUAUUUUCCAAACUCGUGGUGCCUCUGUUUAGAGGAGCAAUUUAUUUUUCAAAAGUCGUGGUGCCUCUGUUUAGAGGAGCAAUUUAUUUUCAAAAGUUGUGGAGCAAUUUAUUUUCAAAAUUCGUGGUGCCUCUGUUUAGAAGAGCAAUUUAUUUUCAAAAGUCGUGAUGCCUCUGUUUAGAGGAGCAAUUUAUGUUUCUCAAAGUCGUUGAGCCUCUGUUUAGAGGAGCUUUGGUAAAAAAAACAAAAAAACAAAAAAACAAAAAACACAAAAAAAUGACAAUGUUGAAUUGAGUCUUGAUUGGGUGUCUACAUCUUUGCGCAAUUUCUGUUUCACAGAAAAUGUGCAAAGAGGGGCAGCUGUAGACACCCAAUUGGGUCUGGCCCAAAUGGGUAAGGCCCAAUUAAAUUUUUAUCCUGUAUUUUUUUUGUAUAUUUGUAUUUAUUUAUUUUUAUUUAGAAUAGAUUUAUAUGUAUAUAGUUAUAUAUUUAUUAUUAUUAUAUUAUUAUUAUUAUUAUUUUUUGUAAUAUAUUUUUAGGUUUAUCUUAUUUUAUUUUUUAAAUUAUCUGUUAAUUUUAUCUGAUUCUUUUUUAUUAUCUAAUUUUUUUUUUCUUUUUAUCCUAUCUUUUCUAAUUAUCUAUUAUUUUUAUUUUUUUUAUUUGAUUUUGGAAGGCUGGGAUUGAAAGUUGAAGAAUCCCAUUGUGAAUGGGAAUUCAAUCAAAAGAGUCCAGAUUGGACUCAAAGAUUGAAUUCCCAUCCAAAGAGGAAUUGGGAUUGAUCAGAAACUACUGAUCAAUCCCUAUAUAAAGGACCCCUGGAACAGAUGCAAAGACACAAAAAACAGUGAGCAAAGCUACCGAUUUGAGAGAAAAUGAGGCGUAUAGGAAGCUAAUAAAAGUUUAUGAGUGUUCUGGGAGCUAGCAAAAAUUUUUUAGAAUUUUUGGUGAUUUUUUUUUUCUGGGAAUUUCUGGAAAUUCCAGAUUCCGAUGAAUUUUUCGGUGAAGUUUGAAUUUUUCGGCGAAAAUUCCGGCCAACCUUGAAGUUUUCGACGAAGAAUCCCAGAAACUGGUGAUCUUUCAGCCAACUUUCGGUGAACUUCUAACGAAAUUUCCAGAUUCCGACGAUAUUUUCCAAAAUCUGACGGAAAUUUCACCGAUGUUCUUCAGCCUUUUCAGAGAGAAUGGAGAGAAAAAAGGAAGAACAGAGAGAGAGGAGAGGAGCGUUCUGCCGAAAACCAGAGGGAAGUGCCUUUUAUACCCUCUCAAAACGACAUCGUUUUGGCCUUAAGUAACCCCGAGGAUCCACGCGUUUUGCCAAGAUCCGACCCGAGCGUCGACCCGCUUCCUGACCCGCGCGUGCCUUCCCCCCUCCAAGCCAAGCCGAGCCGAGCCGAGCUCCCAAGCCGCCUGUUCGAGCCGUUUUUUUUUCCUUGAGCCGAGUCGAGUCGAGCCGCGAUCCGAGCCGCUCCAGGUUUUUUUUUUUUUGAAUUUUUUUUCAUUUUCUUUAUUUUUUUUUAUUUGUUUUUAUUUAUUUAUUAGAUUAGGCUUAUUUAAUAUUCUUUUUAUCUUAAUUUUUUUUGGUUUACUUUUCUUUAUUUUUUUUAUUUUUAUUUAUUUUUUUUAUUUAUUCUAUUUUCUUUAAAUAAAAAUAAAUUUCCAAAAAAAUAUUUUUAGGGAAAAGUUGAAAGUAUCAAUUUUCCUUAAAAAUAAAUUUCAAAAAAAAGGGUUUUUGAGGAAAAGUUGAAAGUAUCAAUUUUCCUUGAAAAUUAAAAUUUUCAAAAAAAAUAUUUUUAGGGAAAAGUUGAAAGUAUCAAUUUUCCUUAAAAAUAAAUUUCAAAAAAAGGGUUUUUGAGGAAAAGUUGAAAGUAUCAAUUUUCCUUAAAAAUCAAAGUUCCAAAAAAUAUUUUUGGGGAAAAGUUGAAAGUAUCAAUUUUUCUUAAAAAUAAAAUUUCAAAAAAAAAGUUUUUGGGGAAAAGUUGAAAGUAUCAAUUUUUCUACACAAGAACAAUCAUUAUUUCCUUCCUUUCUAUUUUGAUUUUGAUUUUUCUUUAAUUAAUCCGACGACGGAGCCUCUGCAAGUGAAACAGUAGUUUUUCUUGCAUACUCCUGAGGUGAGGGAAUUUUCUCAAUUUUCUGCUAAAAGUAUUAGAGUCAAUUGAGAAUAAUCUUUAAUAAUUAACUACUUGGUAAAAUUUUAAAGCUUUUGGAUAACACAAAUUUAAGCUAGUACCAUCUUUUGAUGGGCGUUGUAAGGGUGCUAUAACCUUCCUCACACGUAAUCGAACUCCCGAACCCUGUUCUGGUUAGCAGACCCGAACCUGUUUUUUUAGGGGCCCUUAAACUUAGGCGCUCCCUGAAAGGACAGAUUCUUUAGGUGGCCAAUCGCACCUAGAUAAAAAAGAUUGGUGGCGACUCCUAAAAGUCAAUGUCUAGCGAUAGAUCCUCGGAUCUAGACGUUAUGACAAAGGGGAUGAGGUUUCUUUUGAUUUUUUUCUUUGUGUUUAUGUGGGUCUCGAGUUGGUUUCUUUUAGAAUAAUUGAUGGUGGUGAUUUUGGACAGGUUGCAAUGGGCUUUGGUUUCAAUAAUGGUGGCUUUCGGAGUACUAGUGUCGAUUGUAAAGAGAAAGCUUUGGGGUGUUGGUUGUUUUGAGGUGAUGAUGGUGUUGGUGAGGUCAAACUAGCAAUAGUGGUUAUUCGAGAGUUUUGGAAAGGUAACACAUGGUGGAUGUGGGUCAUCGGUAGGGUGUUUUUAUUUUGGCAAUGCUUCUUGUUCAAAAAUUGGCCUCUAAAUUUUUAGCCCCCAAAAUCCCCCUUUGAUUUUGCAAAACCCCAUUUUAUAGAUUUAAGUGAAUUUUGAAUAGUUGUAGCAGUACCUUGGGUAAAGGAGUUUGCAUUCAUUUGAAGUUAGAAGAUUUUGAUCAAUUGGUAUCUGGAGUCAACGAGGGGUAAAAAAUGGGGUGAAAUGGAGAGCUAAAAAUGGCUUGGCAAAAUGGAGAGAAGAAAAAGUGAAUCUCAAAAGCUAAGAAAGCUUGCUGCUAAAGGGUGAUACAAAGCUUUAGUCAAUAGGAUUUUUAUUCAACUUAUGCUAUGUGGAAAAAGAAGGAUCCUAAAAGGUGAAAAGUUGAAAAUGGAUAUGUCAAAAGGAAGACAGGCAAGUGAGGAUGAUAAAGCUAGUUGCCAUGGCACUAAAUUGACUAUUAUGCUAAGGUUAUGGCUGUCCAGCUUUAGGAUUUUGUUUAUAUCUUUUAUUUUGAGGAAUGAGGCAAAAUAAAAAUAAAAUAAAAUCUCAUGGGCUUGAUUACCAUUUUGGGUUUUCAAGCCCAAGAUUGAGUUAGAUAAAUAAACAUGAGCUCAAGUGAGCCAAUUUAACUGGGUCCAAUUACAACGUGAAACUAAGAUAAUCGUGUAUAAAAAAAUACGAUCUCAAAAUAAAUUUGAAUCAUCCCAGAUAAAAUUAAAUGUUUACAUAUUGCUUUAACUUUUACUUAUAUUCUUUAUGAAUUUAAACUAAAAUCUUUUUCUUGUUGAAAAUUCACACAGAGCAUCUUUAAGCUACUUCAGAUUUGAAAUUUUAAGUCUAAGCUCAAAAUCUAUAAAUGGUAGUCCUAUAUUAUAAUAAGAUUUGCUAGAAUAAAUUGUUUGUGUAACAUUUGCAUCAGACUCAUCACUAUUGCCAUUAUAACUGUCAAAGUCUAAUGAUUCAAAUUACUCAAUGGUGUACCCAUCAACCUUAUCAAUUACAUGACCUUUAUCACCAGCAUUACCUUUACCACUAUCAUCAUCCUCAGCACCAAUAUUCUUUCACCACCAGCAUUACCCUCACUGCCAGUAUUACCUUUACCACCAACAUUAACCUCAUUACCAUCAUUGCAUUCAUCUUAACAAAUGAUUCACCAUCUUAAAAUUAUUUUACCGUCUCAACAUAAGCCCUCAUAUUUUGCCUAGCAACCUCAACUCAUUAUCAUUAUUUGAAUCAUCAUUACUCACCCAUUUUGCAUCUACCAAACAGUCAUCAACAGUAUCACUUGAAUCAUUAUCCAUAGACUAACCUAGCCAGUAGUCAAAUGAACUUCAUUUUCAUCUAAGUCAUCAUUUUGUUCUUUAGCAUUCCCAUCAUCGACAUGCCCUUCCUCCUUACCUUUGAUAUGGUCAUCAGUCACAUUCAUUUCAUUUUCAUUCCUUUUAUUAUUUUAUUAUCUUCAUUCAAUUUAUCUCCCUUUGAAUCACUGUAAAAAUCACUUAGAUAGUGUUUGGUAUGGGGUAAUCACUCAAAAAAUUAUAGUGAUUUAUGCAUGGUGAGUAAAUCACCGUAAUUGAUAACCACUUAGUGAUCCUCCAUGGUAGUGAUCUUGAAUCACCGAGAGUGAUUAAAUCAUUGUCUUGAAAUGUGAUCUAAUUCCCAUCUAAAUAGGUGGGAAAUUUUUCAAACUAGGGUAAAGUGGUAUGUAAAAUAAAUAAUAGUCAUUAUUAUCCAUUUAAUAUGUGAAUUAAAAACUUCUUCUUAAAAUUAAUUGUUAUUAUUUUAUAUUAUAAGUUUUAUAUUUUCAUACUCAUAUUUAUUGUAAUAAGUUCAUUACUAUUUUGUAUGAUUUUAUUAAUUUUUAAAAAUUUAUCUAUAAUAUAAUUUUUUUUAUUUUAAUAUAUUAGUCUUAUUUUCUAAUUCAAAUAUCUUUUCAAAUAAUUUAUACUAUAAAAAUUAGUUUACUAUCAAUAAAUAUAUUUUUAAUCUUAUAAUUUAAUUAUAUUUAUUAUGAAGUAAAUAAAAUAUUAUUAAUAUUUUAUAUACAAAUUAUUUUCAUAACAUAUAAAUCCGUAAAUCUAUAGCUAGACUUAUCAAAUGGAGUCGCCACUAAUCUUUUUUAACGAGGUGUGAUUGUCACCUAAGGAAUCUAUCCUUUUAAGGAGCUCAUAAGCUUAACGAAAGAUCCCUAAAAGAAUAGGUUCGGGUCUACAAACCAGAACAGGAUUCAGGAGUUCAGUUAUACGUGUGAAACAUUAUAGCACUCCCACAUGCCCAUCCAAAUGAUGGUACCAUUUUAUUUUAAAUUUAUCCUAAGGUCUUGAUUCUAAUAAUUUAAAAUUUUAUAUUGAAUAUUGGAAAUAACUUUUAAAAUUCUUCUAUCAAUCUGGUAGAACUCUUAAAAAUAUUUUCUCACCUCAAUAGUAUUCAAGAAUCUCAUUUAUUUUCUUAAAAAGGUUUUGUCGUUAGAAAGAUUUUUUUUAUUUUUUGUUGAAAAUAUAUCUAAUUAUUUUACUAUUUAGGCCAAAUUAGAAAUACCUUCUCUUUUGAAUUUCUAAAUUUUUCACCAUUUGGGCCUAUUUAGAAAUUCCUUAUAAUUCUCUUUUUUUUUCUUUUUUUAUGAAAGAAAAUAUUAUGACAAUUAUUUUUCUUAAAAUUUCAUUUAAAUUCUUUCACCAUUUGAGACAAAUUUAAAGAAAUUUCUCACCUAGAGAUUUCUUUAAAUUUUACCAUUUAAAAUUUCUAAUAAUCUCAUAAUUGGAUAAUUAUCAAAUAUUUUCAACCAAAUUUGGAAAAUAAUACAAUUAUUUUUACUAAAAUUUCAUCUAAAUUAUUCUACCAUUUGAGACAAAUUUAGAGAUAUUUCUCACCUAGAGAUUUCUUAGGAAUUUACCAUUUGAAAUUUUUAAGGAUCUCAUCCUUGGGUAAUUUGUAUUUAAAUCAAAAAUUUUUAUUUUUUUAUUUUUUUUGGUUUUCUCUUUUUUUUUGUUUGAAAAUAAAUAUUAAUUAUUGUCAUUGAAAUUUUAUCUAAAUUAUUCCACCAUUUGGGAUAAAUUCAGAUAAAAUUUCUCACCUAAGAAUUUUAUAAAAAUUGACCAUUUGAAAUUUUUAUAAAUUUCAUCAUUGGAUAAUUGAUACUUAUUCUCAAAAAAAAUAUUUUAUUUUUAUAUUUUAUUUUUUUCCAAAUUUAAUCAUACAAAAAUACUAAAAAAAUAAACACAUAAAUAAAAUACUAAAUAAAAUAAAAAAUACUAAAAAAAUAAAAAUGGCUCAACUUGGCGAUUAAAGCGGCUCAACUGAAGGCACAGAAAGCGGCUCAAGGGAUGCGGCUUGGUAGCUCAACUCGACUCAAGGAAUUGGUUAGUACGUAAGUCAAAAGUGGGUCAACGCUAUGGCUCGGGUCAUUCAAAUGAAACCGCGGAGAUCCUUAUGAAUCUCUUAACGCCAAAACGACGUCAUUUCUAGAGGGUAUAUAAGCUCAAAUCUUAAUUUUUCCUUCAAACCUCCUCUUUUCCCUCUCUUUUUUCACCACAUUUUCUUUCAUUCUCUCUCUAAAACCCCCAAAGAACAUCGGUUGAAUUUCACUGGAUUCUAAAAAAUUUUAUCAAAAUUUAGGUCAUUCAUCAAAAGUUUAUCGAAAAGUUCAUCGAUUUCUGUAAAACAAUCGUCGAAAACUAGAAAGCUUGCCAGAAUCUAGGAAUGUACCCAAAAACUCACCAAAAAAUUCAAUCAACGCCAAAAAAUUCAUCAAAAAAUUUUACCACACAAGAAAAUUCACUGAAAAAUAAAAAAUUUCCAAAAAAAAUUCCUCUUUCACCUUAAAAUCCUUCCAAAAAAUUUCUAGCUGCAUUUAGUGGGUGUUUUCUAAUUUUUCUCUGAUUUUUUAUCUAUUUUUUGCUUUGUAUUUUGUGUUUCUAUGUGUGUGUUCUAUGUUCACCAUGGAAGCAUCUAUUUAUAGGGCUCUGAUCAAAAAAACCCUAUACCCUAAAAGAGUUCAAUUCCUUUUUAAUUUCAACUUUAUUCUUUAUAUUCAAUUUAAACUCCUCACACACACAGUUUCACACAAAUUUAACUUGCUAUAUUUUUUUUUGGUUUUUUUAUUUUUUUUUAUUUAUUAUUUUUUUAAUUAACAGAAACCAGAUUGAGUAGAAUCUCGAAUAGAUUGGGGUGUCUACAGCUACUCCUCUUUGCAUAUUUUUUAUGAAACAAGAAUUGUGCAAAGGUGUAAACAACCCAAUUAGGAAGAAACACACAAUUUUUUUUUGUUUUUUUUAAACAUACUCAAAUUUCCUCUAAAUAGAGGCUCAAUAACUUUGAAAAAUAAAAUUAGGCUCCUCUAAGCAGAGGCUCAACGACUUCAAAAAAAUAAAUAAAGCUCAUCUAAACAGAGGUUCAAUGACUUUGAAAAAUAAAUAAAGCUCAUCUAAUCAGAGGCUCCACAACUUUGAAAAAUAAAUAAAGCUCAUCUAAUCAGAGGCUCCACAGCUUUGAAAAAUAAAGGCUCCUCUAAACAAAGGCUCAACGACUUUGAAAAAUAAAAAGCUCCUCUAAAUAAAGGUUCAACAACUUUGAAAAAAUAAAUGCUCCUCUAAUUAGAGGCUCAACAACUUUGAAAAAUAAAUGGUUCCUCUAAACAAAGGCUCAAUGACUUUGAAAAAUAAAAUGCUCCUCUAAAUAGAGGCCCAAUGGCUUUGAAAAAUAAAUAAAGUUCCUCUAAUCAAAGGCUCCACAACUUUGAAAAAUAAAAGCUCCUUGACAAUCAUGUCUAGAGGAGUCAUAGAUAAAGUCUGAUGAAAUUUCUAAUGGAAACUCAAAGAUUCACAAUUUGAGUUCAAAAUUUAAAGGUUCAGAUCCGCAAGAACCUUUUAACUUCGUAAGAAUUCACUAAAAUUUAAUUCUUAAAAUUUCAAUUUCACAAGAAUACGAUUCGUAAAACUUUAGAUAUACAAGAAUUCAAAUUUGCAAGAUUUCAAGAUUCACAUUCGUGAGAUUCUCAUCCAAAGUUUUAAUUCAGGAAUUCACAUGCAAAUUGCAAGGCUCACAUCCAACAUUUAAAGAUUCUCAUUUGAAUUUUAGAGAUUCACAUUUAAAAGUUCAAAGCUUCUCAUUUGAGUUCAAAGGUUCACAUUCAAUAAAUCUUAGAGUUUCAUAUCUAAAAUCUCAAAGGUUCUCAUUUAAACUCUUCUUAAAGAUUCUCAUUCGAAUUUGAAGAUUCUUAUUUAAAAUUCAAAGAUUCUCAUCAAAAAAUUUACAAUUUUUUUUUCAGUUGACUCAAAAUUUUGUAUGUAAUGAAUGUCAUGAUCAAUGAUGCAAACAUUUUUUAAUGAUGCAAAUGCAACAAUCUAGAUUCUCACAAUGCCAUAUUUUCAACCAUGAUUUAAAUGUUUACUACAUAAUGCAAAUGCAUAGCUAAACCAAAGUUUCAAAUAUUCUCCAAACAAACAAUGUAGACGUAAUGCAUGUAAUGCGGAUAUCCGUGUCAUGAAAUUCUAAUUAAUUAUGGUAACAUAGUUCUCAAGACCCCACCAUCCCAUAUUUUUCCUUAUAUAGCUCUUUAGCACUUUAGAACAAGUUUCAUUAAUUGAUCAUCAUUGUUUUUAUCACUUGAUCACAAUUCCUAGGCUUGUCAGCAUUAACAAUUUCAGAAUAAGUUUCAUCUAUUGAUCCACAUACCAUUUAAUCACAACUCACAAACUUCUCAGCACCAACAAUUUCAGAAUAAAUUAUGUCAAUUGAUCCACAUGAUAUUCAUCACUUGAUCACCAUUCACAGGUUUCUUAGCACUAGCUAUUCCAAAAGGAAUUUUGUUCACUGAUCCACAUUAUUUUAUCAUUUGACCACAUCUCACAAAUUAUGUCAACCAAUCCAUCACUACACAUGUGUCAUUUUUUCAAGUUUCAAACAUUUUUUUGCCCCAUCAUCCUGGAUUUUUUUUCAAAUGAAUGCAAGAAUCUUUUAUGCAUAUUACCAUUCAUUCAUUAUCAUUUCAAAUCAUGACAAAUACAAUAUAAUCAUACAUUUUCUUAAUUCAUUCUAGGGAUGUAAGAAUAAAAAAACACAAGGUGAAUCAAGGGAAGGUAAUAAAUGAAAAGUGAGUCUGGUAUAAAAAUAAAUGAACAAAGGAAUGAAUUCAAAGCAUAUCAAUAGGGAUGGUAUUGAAUAGUACAACAAUGUCAAAACAAUGAAUACUUAGACAACUAUUAACAUUAAUUCAAAAUUUUUUCUCAAAAACUCAUUCCAAUGACUUUUAGAGUCAUUUUAAGCUCAUUGAGCUUUUCUCCAGCUUUGAAAGAUCUUCAGAUGUCUUUGACCUUCUAUCUAUGUGAACUGUCUAUUCAACUUUCAACUUAGAGACUUACCCAAAUCGCCCUUUCGAGUUUUCAAUUUGAAUAUUCAUUUUCUCUCCUUUUCAUUUUUUUUAUUUUUUUAUUUUUUUAUUUUCUCAUUUUUCAUUUUUUUUCUUCUCAUUUUUUCAUCCGUUAGUAAUAUCUCCUACCCAUCAAUCUCUAAAACAACGUAGCCUAAUUUCGUUGUUCUAUCAUGAGCAUGCCUUAGCUCAACAUAUGAUCAUUUAAUUCUAGUACUCACAUUUAAUCCAAAUGGACUUUUAAAAGUUAUAGCAUAGGCCAUAGUGAGGAGUUAGAAAAGAAAUGGAUAAAACAAGCUCAAAACAUAUGUUUAAAAAGGUUCAGAACUAAAGGAUCAUUUUUCAUCAUUUGAUGCAACUUGACAUUUUGCCCUAUUCUAUAUCAUUUCACUACUUUUUCCUUUUACCAUCUCAUUUCUCACAAAAAGUUCUCAUUACUUUAUCCCAAAUCACGUGUGGCAUUCAUUUUUUUUCUCUUUUUUUUUACUUCUCUUUCUUUGAGAUUUUUUUCUCAAAAAUUACCCCCUAGUGUGAAAAGUGAUCCUUGGUCGAGGAUUUAAAAAAAAAAUCAUAAUAGGCUCAAAAGGGGUAGCAAUGAAUGGUUUUUCAAAUGGUAAAAGAAAUAUGGCCAUUUUUUCUCUCAAAUAUGAAUGCUUUCUUUGAAGAUCAUUUAUGGAACAAAAACAAGCUCACAAAUCUUUAUAAAAGACUAGAUAUCUUCAAGACAUAUUAAUUUUACCCCUACUAAUAACUUACUUUUUUUGCUCAAAUGGUCUUCGUAGAUUAAUGUGAAUGAGUUCUCAAAAUUAAAUUUUAGAAUUAUUAUUAUCAUUGUCUAAACAUUCAUCAUUGAAAUUUGAGAAUGGGAUAAAAAAGAUAAGGGAAAAAAUAAAAUAUGGAAUAGUAGUUGGAUGAAAGAGAAAAUGUAAUAAAAUGUAUCAUCCUUGCCUUUAAUUGAAAUGAUAAAAAAUGAAAUCUUAUUGCAUGAAAGAAUUCCUAACAUUACUUUGAAAGAAAACCCAGAAUGACAAUCAACAUUCAACUAGUCUUAACAUCAUUAUGCUCAUAUGUGAUCAAGUGAAUGAUUUUUCUUGACAUCUAACCCCCUGAUUCAUUGCAGCUCUCCAAGUCUUUUCAGAUCACACUCAUUCUUAAUCUUCACUUGAAACACUGACAUUAUAGUUAGACAAUGGAUUGUCAUUAACAUUAGGUAUUGUUACCCCUCCUUAAUCAAAGAUUAUCAUUCUAUCAUUAAUCAAUCAUUGCACCUUAUACUUUUGGGCAGUGUAAUUUUCCAUGGAACAAUUGGCAAUUCUAUAGUGGUAGUCACAAUGGGCUAUAAGAUCAUAUCACUAGAGAUAGGUUGGCUUAAGUGACUAUAAACGGCUAAGAGCAAUCAAAUGGUUGUUGUAAAGCUCUCGAUAUAACUCCAUAUAAGUCAUGGAGAUUGGAUCAAAUAUAAGAUUUUUUCGGGUAGUUCAUUGCUCUCGUGAACUACUUGUUGGGUUAGCAAGACAAAACUAAGGCCUUGCGGAAGGUUGAAUGUUAAGGUUGUAUAUAGGAGCUUGCUGAUAUAUUGGUGGAUAAAAUGGUAAUGGGGCUGACCGGUAUAGGUAGGAUGAGGUAUUGUUCAUAGUAUGAUGGUAUGAGAAGUAACCUUGUAGUGGAUAAGGUUGAUAACUCAUGAACUAUCUAUCUAAGCUUAUGGCUUGACCUUUAGUCUUUUUCUUUUUUAACACCUUCUUGGUUUCUCUUCUUUUUAACUUGCCAUUUUUAAUGGCAUUUUUAAUGAUUUCGACUAAGAUCACCAUAUUGACAAAAUUUUUUAUUGUAUUCUCUAUUAUCUUUUUAUAAUAGAAAGAUUUUAAAGUGCUGACAAACAACAUUGUGGUCUCUUUUUCAGUUAAAGGGAGUUGCACUUAAAAAACUACAUCAUUCUAUCUCUAGACGUAUUCUUUAACUGACUUAUUUGAAUUUAAUUCCAAAUUUUUUAUUUUUUUAUUUUUUUUGGUUUUCUCUUUUUUUUGUUUGAAAAUAAAUAUUAUUUAUUGUUAUUAAAACUUUAUCUAAAUUAUUCCACCAUUUGGGAUAAAUUCAAACAAAAUUUUUCACCUAUGAAUUUUAUAAAAAUUUAUCAUUUGAAAUUUCUAUAAAUUUCAUCGUUGGAUAAUUAAUAUUUAUUCUCAAAAAAUUUUAUUUUUAUUUUUUUUUCAAAUUUAAUCAUGCAAAAAUACUAAAAAAAUAAACACAUAAAUAAAAUACUAAAUAAAAUAAAAAAUAUCAAAAAAUUAGAAAUGGCUCAGCUUGGCGGCUAAUAUGGCUCGGCUAAAGGCACAAAAAGUGACUCGGGAGACAUGACUUGACGGCUCGACUCAGCUCAACUCAAGGAAUUGGCUAGUACGUUGGUCAAAAGUGGGUCAGCACUAUGGGUCGAAUCACUUGAAUGGAAAUGCGCAGAUCCCGAUAGGUCUCUUAACGCCAAAAUAAUGUUAUUUCCAAAAGGUAUAUAAGCCUAAAUCUCGAUUUUUCCUUCAGACCUCCUUUUUUUUUCUCUCUCUUCACCCCUUUUUUCUCUUUCUCUCUCUAAAACCCCUCAAGAACACUGGUUGAAUUUCAUCAAAUUUUAAAAAAUCUUGUCAGAAUCUGGGUUAUUCGUUAGAAGUUUAUCGAAAAGUUCAUCGAUUUUUAGAAAGCAAUCGUCGAAAACUGGAAAGCUUGCCAGAAUCUGGGAAUAUGGCCAAAAACUCACUGAAAAAUUUAACCGGUACUGAAAAAUUCAUUAUAAAAUUUAAUCGACGUCAAAAAAUUUACCAAAAGAUGGAAAUUUUCUAGAAAAUUUCCAAAAAAAUUUUUUUUCACCCCAAAAUCCUUCCAACAAAUUUCUAACUGCCUUUCGUGGGCGUUUUCUGAUUUUUCUCUAAUUUUUUAUUUGUUUUCUACUCUAUCUUCUGUGUUUCUGUAUGUGUGUUUUGUGUGUACCGUGGAAGCAUCUAUUUAUAGGGUUCUGAUCAAAAAAACCCUAUACCCUAAAAGAGUUCAAUUCCCUUUUAAUUUCAACUUCAGUAUUUAAAUCCAAUUUAAACUCCUCACACACAUAGUUUCACGUAAAUUUAACCUGUUAGUUUUUUUUUCAUUUUUAUUAUUUAUUAUUUUUUUAAUUAACAAAAACAAGAUUGAGUAGAACUCCAGACAGAUUGCGGUGUCUACAAUUAUUAUAUUUAAAUAAUAAUGAAAUCAUUAACUUGAGUAACUAUUAUAAUGUGCAUAAUUAUUUUGAUACUUUCAAACAAAAUAAUGUUUGAUUUUAGUAAUACAAAGCAUAGUGAUCUUUAAUUAUUAAGAAUUAAUGAUUCUUAUAUAAACAAAGUGAUUCCAAAUUAUGAGUGAUAAGAUCAUCUUAGUAAUAAGAUCACUUCAGUGAUUAAGUUACCAUGAUGAUCUUGAAAAUGAUACCAAUGUUACCUUAAAGUAAGUGUAGGUUGUUUAGUAGGCUCAAUAUUUUUAAUCACAAUCACCUCAUCAUCAUUUAAGUUAUUUACACCUUUACCAACCUUAGUUGGUUCAAGUAGAGCAUUUGGAAUAUCAUUAUCAAUUUGACAAGCCAAAUAUUCUACAUAUAUAUAUUUAUAGGUUUACCCAACCUUAAAUGACCACAAAAUCUCUCAUACUUUCAUUUGCUUCCAUUAACAACUUCAACUUUGUACCUAAUGUUUUACCCAUCUCUACAUAGUAAAAUUUAAUCUUAUUGGACAAAUCAUAACCUAAAAACUUUAAUGUUCCUAGUAUUGUUCACUAACAAAUUCGAUCAAGUUCCUCAUCAAACUCAUUUACAUACCUAUUCAUAUAUUUAGCAACUGUACGAGCUCUUUUGAAAUUGUCUUCAUGAUGGUACCUGAUUUUGCAUAAUUCCUAACUCAUACUAAAUGAUAAACAUAUGUUCAUAACACAAAUAAAUAGAUAAUUUACAUAAAUUAUUAAAUAAACAUGGCAUAUGGCAAACAACACUUAUUUUCAUCAAUUACAAAUACAAAUAUUAUUAGCAAUAACUAUUAUGCAACAAAUGCAGAAAUAGUAAAAAUCUUUUCUAACAUUACAAACAACACUUGAAACAAGGUCACAUUGAAAGACAAUACAAAAGGGCCACAUACCAUUACCAAACACCUGUUAUAACCAUCGAAGAUUCUAAAUCACAUACAUACAAACAAGGUAACAACCUAAGUUAUUUUAGCAACAAAAGUGGCAAAAGUGGAGUCAAACCCUAAAUGUAAAUGAAGUCAAACCUUAUGCUUAAAAAUGAAAAAAAAAAAACCCAAAACCCUAAAUCUAAAUCGAUAAGCCCAACAGUAACAAACUUGGGUAAAAUGGCGAUAGUUGAAAACUAAACCAUUUUAGGCCUUUCUUUGUUGAACUUAGGGUUUUAAUUCAGAUUUGAGAAAAAUAAGAGAGUGAAAAAGUAUAUGAUUGGAGAACAAUUUCACUAAAACAAUUUGGGAAAAAAAAUAGAUUGGAGAAUAUAAUAACAUAAACUUGAUUUUCCUAAGUUUUUUGUUUAACGAUUUAGUUUUUUUUUUUUUCAGCUUUGGUUUUAGUAAUUUGAUUUUUUUUUUGGUUUUUUUUUUAUUUUAGAAGUAAAGGUGGACAAAAUAUAUACACGUUGAAAAAAUCCAAGUAAGUUUCAAGAAAUCAAUUAAUAUCGUUCAUUUAAACACGUUAUUGUAAUCAAUGCCACAUCAACAUGGUCAACAGCUGCGUCAGCUAAUUUAACGAAAAUCAAGUAAUAAUGUUAUCAAUUAGACUAACAUUGUUAAAUUAAACUAAUAUGAGGAUCUAAUUUUUGUAAAUUAUUGUAUAGGGACUAAAGUUUAUAUUUCAUAUAAAUGCAGGAACUAAUUGCAUAAUUUGACCUUUUCUUUAUAGUUUGAUGUCAAAAAACAAAUGUUGACAUGGAGUCAUAUUAUUGGUUGAGCAUAUAGCUGACUUAGUUGGAGUGACCUAUGUAAUAAUUUAUCUUAGUAGGAAUAACUUAUGUAAUACUUUAUCUUAAUUUUGAUUCAAUUUUAAAAUAAUUAUAGAUGAAAAUUUUGUGAAACAUCUUUAGAAUCUUUAUUUGCUUUCUUACCAGAUAGCGAUUUUGUUAUCUGCUAACUUUAAAUUUUUUACCCAAAUUAAAUGUGUAGGUUUAUUAUUGCAUAUUCUUUUUUAGUAAUUUUGUUCCAUCAUCUUAACUUUUACAUAAAAAUAUUGGGAUAAAUUUAGAUUUUAGCCUAAAAGAUUUUUUUUUUUUUUUACAUUUUAUCAUUGACCUACUUUCUUUUUUUUCGUUGACCUACUUUUCUUUUUCUUUUCUUCUUUUUCUUAAAUUAAUAUUAUCUUCAAUCAAUAUUAGUUCACCCUUUGAUUUUUCCUUCAAAUUUUCUUCUUUAAUUCAUUGAAAAGUUAGGUUAAGAUUGUAAAACUUCAAGCUAGAUAAAAAAAUAGAAAGAUAAAAAUUGGAAGAAAAAGAAAAGUAGAAAAUGAAAAAAUAUUUCUUUUCCUUUCCAUUGAUAUGUAUUGUGCUUGAUUGGAAAAAAUAAAAAAAUUUAAAAAAAAUGUAUUUUAUUUCUAUCCAUUGUCUGAUAGAAUUAAUGAAAAAUGAAAGGAAUUGGACAUUAAAAAUUAAUUUAAUUUACUAUCAUAAACCUUUUAUAUUAAGAUAAAAAAUAAAAAUCUAAAAUAUUAUAGGCAAUCUUUAAAUAUACAACAAUACUCACACCUUUCCCAUUUGCUUCUUCUUUUCUUUUUGAUUUAGAAUGAUUUGUAAUUGUGAAUAAGUGUGAAAAUUUGACAUCUUUCCUUUUUUUUUCUCACUUUUCUUUCAUACAAACCACAUUCAAAAUUCUUUUUCUUUCUGCAUUUCCAUUCCCUCUAUUCAUCCUUUUACUUUUCCAUUAUACCAAGCACACCCUAAAAGAAAUUAAUAAUGAUUUCUCUUUGUUUCCUUUGCAUACUAAAUUUAAUGAAGAAUUUUCAUAAGAUCAAUGAAAUUAUUGGAAGUAUGGAGAUUUUGAACUGUCAUAUGCAAUACUUUCAACAUGCGUAAAUAUAAAGUUAAAUAACAAAAAAGAAUUUGCAAAAUAUAUAUAAAAUAGAAAUCAUGAAUUAUAAAUUUAAAUGCAAAGCAUACAUAAUGUAUGCCAUAAAUUGGAUUGUUAAAUAAUGCAAAGUAGUCCUUAAAUUGGAUGUAGCGAUUAGCCUUUGCUUUAGUUGAUUAGCAUUUUGUCUCUCGUCAUUGACUAGAUGGUAGUUGAUCCAAUCUAAAGUUUUCAUCAAGCUGCUCAUAUCUGCCUCCAACUUUUUUUUAUCCUUAAAUUAUGAUCUCUCUUUAUGUAUGAAAAAGUAUGUAAGUAUGAUUAACGAGAUAAUAGAACCUUAAAUUUCCUUAAUCUUCUACUUAACCUUAAUUAAAACGUGGUUUAGUUUUUUAUUCUUGUAUCAUUUGUUCUACAAAAAUGUCCUUGAAUCAUGACAAAUUGUUAUUGUUUGAGAUUUCAUCUCAAAUCAAAGAUGAAAAAGAAAACAAAGAAAAAUAAAAAUAAGAAAAUAUAAACCAUAUUUCCACAAGAAACAUUAAUUAUAAUUCAUCAGAGCACAUAUAAAUACUAAAAGUCACUGCUUUCUUCCACCUUAAACAAGUAAAAUUUAUAUAAUUACAUUAAUUUUAUCUUAUCUUAUCACAUCUCAUCAUUAUUCAUUUAUUUAUUCAGAUCAGUUCUUGACAGCAAGAAAAUCCUAUGCUGCCAAUAGAUAUUUUAAUCAAGCAAACUUUUUAACAUUUAGGAUAUGCAACUCCACAAGUGCUAGCAACCCUUUUGGAGUUGGGAUUGUCGACAAACUGUUUAAGAGUUGGGUUCUUAAGGUACCCACAAAAGCAUGGCUGCUGCUCCUUCAG
rnacentral:lncRNA from 1 species